UCCCGGGUCUCUCUGUCCACAGACUUACGCCUCAGGGGUACACAGACUCAUUCAAGUUCAGCCACUCACACCCCAAGGGUGUGUGCAUUCGCCCUCUAACACACGGAUUUCCCCAGUAUGCCGGUAAACACGCCAGAGUGUCACUCACCAAGAUCCACGUUCCAGAGGAGACAAAAGUUCAACAGCACACCGGCAGCCGCUCUCACCGUCCAGUUUUGCUCAGUACGAGGGCUGGGAGCUGGCUGGCAGGACAGAGUCACGUAAUGGGCUCUCCAGCCCGACGCUGAGUCGACGGGAGCGCCAGUUCCCAGGCCGCACCCGGCGGCGACCUCUCCCGGCGUCCGUUCCGCUCUAGGGUGCCCCCUCACAUACUCCAUGUGCUGGUCCCCUCCAGGAGACACAGCCGCGGCUCCCGGUCCCCGAGUCCCAAGCCCAGCCGCGCAGGGUCCCACGUGCCUGAAAGAGCCGCGGUCCCCGCCCCACCCCGCCUGGCUCCGUACCCCAUGGCCCGGCGGUAAGCAGAAGGGCGGGGCAGACUCUGGGCAGACGCUGGAGCCGUCCGGGACAGAUGCCUCCAGUUUGUCACUGGCUUGGGGAUGCGGCCUGGCUGUACCGAGGCGGGGUCAGCGUGUCCGAAACGGGUGUUGAGCAGGGAGGGGCGGGAGGCAACUGUCUGGGCUGGGCAGAGGCCAUCUGCCUCGCUCACCGGAUCAGAGGCUUGAGAGCAAAAGGAAAGGACACCAGUCAUCUCUCAACUGCUGGCCUGUGAAUGGAUGGGCGCAUGAGGGUCUGCACCCUCCAUUUCUGGACCAGGAAUCUGACGUCCACCAGGCCUUCCCUGUUACAGCCACUUCCCUUGGGACCGAGGAUUGAGCCAGGCCUCUAGAAGACCCACGGCGUGGCCAGUGGCCAGUCUUGGACUUUGUGCUUGCUCUUGUCCAAUUCCUUUACUUCGGGGCCAAAGAAACGACAUCCCUGAGGUGCACAUGGAGGCGUGUACACAUGUGUAUGCUUGCACAUGGAGGACUAAGAACACCCCAGGUGUCAUCCUCAGGGUUCUCCCACUGACCUGGAGAUCACCAAUUAGGCUGCAUUGGAUAUCCAGUGAGCCCAACAGAUCUUGCCUCACUAGCCCUGAGAUCACAAGCAUGUGUCACCAUGCCCAGCAUGUUCACAUGGAUUCAGGGGAUCAAAUCCAGGUCGUCAUGCUUGCAAAGCAAACACUGUAUGAACUGAACUCAUGGACAUAGGACAUUUUGGUGGAUAAAUUCUUGACAAGAAUUUGA